rnacentral:snRNA from 1 species
CAUAGCGACGUUGCUUUUUGA